rnacentral:rRNA from 1 species
UACGGGGGGGGCAAGCGUUGUUCGGAAUUACUGGGCGUAAAGGGUUCGUAGGUGGCCUGCUAAGUCAGACGUGAAAUCCCUCAGCUUAACUGGGGAACUGCGUCUGAGACUGGUGGGCUUGAGUGCAGGAGAGGAACGCGGAAUUCCAGGUGUAGCGGUGAAAUGCGUAGAUAUCUGGAGGAACACCGGUGGCGAAGGCGGCGUUCUGGACUGUUACUGACACUGAUGAACGAAAGCCAGGGGAGCAAACGGG